rnacentral:rRNA from 1 species
CCGGCGCACGGGUGAGUAACGCGUGGGUAACCUGCCUCAUACAGGGGGAUAACAGUUAGAAAUGACUGCUAAUACCGCAUAAGACCACAGCACCGCAUGGUGCAGGGGUAAAAACUCCGGUGGUAUGAGAUGGACCCGCGUCUGAUUAGGUAGUUGGUGGGGUAACGGCCUACCAAGCCGACGAUCAGUAGCCGACCUGAGAGGGUGACCGGCCACAUUGGGACUGAGACACGGCCCAA